ensembl:snRNA U2 U2 spliceosomal RNA
AUCACUUCUCGGCCUUUUGACUAAGAUCAAGUGUAGUGUCUGUUCUUAUCAGUAAAAACGUUGGCCGUUUCUUACUUCGUAGGGAAGAACAAGUGUCCCAUUGAAGAUGAAGUGACCUGUUGAAAGUCAGGAGUGUUAUUUCAUUACACAGCAAAAGCUCUAUUCCAACAACU